GACGAACGCUGGCGGCGUGCUUAACACAUGCAAGUCGAACGGAAAGGCCCUGCUUUUGUGGGGUGCUCGAGUGGCGAACGGGUGAGUAACACGUGAGUAACCUGCCCUUGACUUUGGGAUAACUUCAGGGAACUGGGGCUAAUACCGGAUAGGAGCUCCUGCUGCAUGGUGGGGGUUGGAAAGUUUCGGCGGUUGGGGAUGGACUCGCGGCUUAUCAGCUUGUUGGUGGGGUAGUGGCUUACCAAGGCUUUGACGGGUAGCCGGCCUGAGAGGGUGACCGGCCACAUUGGGACUGAGAUACGGCCCAGACUCCUACGGGAGGCAGCAGUGGGGAAUAUUGCACAAUGGGCGGAAGCCUGAUGCAGCAACGCCGCGUGCGGGAUGACGGCCUUCGGGUUGUAAACCGCUUUCGCCUGUGACGAGGCGUGAGUGACGGUAAUGGGUAAAGAAGCACCGGCUGACUACGUG
rnacentral:rRNA from 1 species